GACGAACGCUGGCGGCGUGCCUAAUACAUGCCAGUUGAGCGAUGAAGCUUGGUGCUUGCACCAAUUUGAAGAGCAGCGAACGGGUGAGUAACGCGUGGGGAAUCUGCCUUUGAGCGGGGGACAACAUUUGGAAACGAAUGCUAAUACCGCAUAACAACUUUAAACAUAAGUUUUAAGUUUGAAAGAUGCAAUUGCAUCACUCAAAGAUGAUCCCGCGUUGUAUUAGCUAGUUGGUGAGGUAAAGGCUCACCAAGGCGAUGAUACAUAGCCGACCUGAGAGGGUGAUCGGCCACAUUGGGACUGAGACACGGCCCAAACUCCUACGGGAGGCAGCAGUAGGGAAUCUUCGGCAAUGGACGAAAGUCUGACCGAGCAACGCCGCGUGAGUGAAGAAGGGUUUCGGAUCGUAAAACUCUGUUGGUAGAGAAGAACGUUGGUGAGAGUGGAAAGCUCAUCAAGUGACGGUAACUACCCAGAAAGGGACGGCUAACUACGUG
rnacentral:rRNA from 1 species